rnacentral:rRNA from 1 species
AUUGAACGCUGGCGGCAUGCUUUACACAUGCAAGUCGAACGGUAACAGGCCGCAAGGUGCUGACGAGUGGCGAACGGGUGAGUAAUGCAUCGGAACGUGCCCAGUCGUGGGGGAUAACUACUCGAAAGAGUAGCUAAUACCGCAUACGAUCUAUGGAUGAAAGCGGGGGACCGUAAGGCCUCGCGCGAUUGGAGCGGCCGAUGUCAGAUUAGGUAGUUGGUGGGGUAAAGGCUCACCAAGCCAACGAUCUGUAGCUGGUCUGAGAGGACGACCAGCCACACUGGGACUGAGACACGGCCCAGACUCCUACGGGAGGCAGCAGUGGGGAAUUUUGGACAAAGGGCGCAAGCCUGAUCCAGCAAUGCCGCGUGCAGGAAGAAGGCCUUCGGGUUGUAAACUGCUUUUGUACGGAACGAAACGGCUCUGGUUAAUACCCGGGGCUAAUGACGGUACCGGAAGAAUAAGCACCGGCUAACUACGUG